rnacentral:rRNA from 1 species
GAUCCAGAGUACCACGGGACACGUGAAACCCUGUGGGAAGCAGGAGGGACCACCCUCCAAGGCUAAAUACUACCUAGUGACCGAUAGCGUAUAGUACCGUGAGGGAAAGGUGAAAAGAACCCCGGGAGGGGAGUGAAAUAGAACCUGAAACCCUGCACUUACAAGCUGUGGAAGCACAUUUCUUGUGUGACCGCGUACUUUUUGUAGAACGGGCCAACGAGUUACGUUAAGUAGCAAGGUUAAGCACUUAAGGUGCGGAGCCGUAGCGAAAGCGAGUUUUAACUGAGCGUUCAGUUACUUGACGUAGACCCGAAACCGGGCGACCUACCCAUGAGCAGGAUGAAGCGAAAGUAAAAUUUCGUGGAGGUCCGAACCCACGAGCGUUGAAAAGCUCGGGGAUGACUUGUGGGUAGCGGUGAAAUUCCAAUCGAGCCCGGAGAUAGCUGGUUCUCCCCGAAAUAGCUUUAGGGCUAGCCUCAAGGUGAGAGAUACGGAGGUAGAGCACUGAAUGUCCUAGGGGGUAUUGCACCUACCGAAGACUAUCAAACUCCGAAUGCCGUCAUCUUAUACUUGGGAGUCAGACUGUGGGUGAUAAGAUUCAUAGUCGAAAGGGCAACAGCCCAGAUCGUCAGCUAAGGUCCCUAAAUGUAAGUUAAGUGGUAAAGGAUGUGGGAUUGCACAGACAACCAGGAUGUUGGCUUAGAAGCAGCCACUCAUUCAAAGAGUGCGUAAUAGCUCACUGGUCGAGUGAUCCUGCGCCGAAGAUUUCCGGGGCUAAAACUUACUACCGAAGCUACGGCAUCAGUAAUGAUGGGUAGGGGAGCUUCCCAUACGGGUUGAAGCAUGACCGUAAGGACAUGUGGACAGUAUGGGAGUGAGAAUGUUGGCAUGAGUAGCGAGAUGUGGGUGAGAAUCCCACAGGCCGUAAACCCAAGGUUUCCAGGGGAAGGUUCGUCCGCCCUGGGUUAGUCGGGACCUAAGCUGAGGCCGAAAGGCGUAGGUGAUGGACAACAGGUUGAUAUUCCUGUACUACCGAUAACCGUUUGAGAGAAGGGAUGACACAGUAGGAUAAGCUAAGCACACUGUUGGUUAUGUGUGCCCAAGCAUUGAGGCAGUCAAAGUAGGCAAAUCCGCUUUGAUAAUGCUGGGAUGUGAUGGGGAGCGAAAUUUAGUAGCGAAGUAGCUGAUUUCACACUGUCAAGAAAAGUCUCUAUCGAGGUUAAAGGUACCCGUACCGCAAACCGACACAGGUGGGUGAGGAGAGUAUCCUAAGGCCAGCGAGAGAACUGUUGUUAAGGAACUCGGCAAAAUGACCCCGUAACUUAGGGAUAAGGGGUGCCACCAUCAGGUGGCCGCAGAGAAUAGGCCCAAGCGACUGUUUACCAAAAACAUAGGUUUCUGCUAAGUCGCAAGACGAUGUAUAGGAGCUGACGCCUGCCCGGUGCUGGAAGGUUAAGGGGAUCUGUUAGAGCAAUCGAAGCAGUGAACUUAAGCCCCAGUAAACGGCGGCCGUAACUAUAACGGUCCUAAGGUAGCGAAAUUCCUUGUCGGGUAAGUUCCGACCCGCACGAAAGGCGUAACGAUUUGGGCACUGUCUCAACAACAGACUCGGUGAAAUUGUAAUUCCGGUGAAGAUGCCGGAUACCUGCGACAGGACGGAAAGACCCCAUGGAGCUUUACUGUAGCUUGACAUUGGGUCUUGGUACUACAUGUACAGGAUAGGUGGGAGGCUUUGAAACCAGGACGCCAGUUUUGGCGGAGCCAUCCUUGGGAUACCACCCUUGUAGUACUGGGACUCUAACCAUAGGCCAUGAAUCUGGUCUUGGGACACUGUCAGGUGGGCAGUUUGACUGGGGCGGUCGCCUCCCAAAAGGUAACGGAGGCGCUCAAAGGUUCUCUCAGUACGGUCGGAAAUCGUACGUAGAGUGU